rnacentral:rRNA from 1 species
GACGAACGCUGGCGGCGUGCCUAACACAUGCAAGUCGAACGAGGCCACUCCUUCGGGAGUGAGUCGAGUGGCGGACGGGUGAGUAACACGUGAGCAAUCUACCCUUGUGCGGGGGAUAACCCAGGGAAACUUGGGCUAAUACCGCAUGGGCAAGAGAUCCGAGUGGGUUUUUUGGGAAACGUGGCCUCUUAACAAUGCUACGGCGCAAGGAGGAGCUCGCGGGCUAUCAGCUAGUUGGUGAGGUCAAGGCUCACCAAGGCAGCGACGGCUACGGGGUCUGAGAGGACGACCCCGCACAUUGGAACUGAGACACGGUCCAGACUCCUACGGGAGGCAGCAGUGGGGAAUUUUGGGCAAUGGCCGAAAGGCUGACCCAGCGACGCCGCGUGCGGGAGGAAGCCCUUCGGGGUGUAAACCGCUGUCAGGGGGACGAAAGAGAGAGGAGCUAAUACCUCUUCUCAGUGACGGUACCCUCAAAGGAAGCACCGGCUAACUCUGUGCCAGCAGCCGCGGU